rnacentral:rRNA from 1 species
GGCGAACGCUGGCGGCGUGCCUAAUACAUGCAAGUAGAACGCUGAAGGAGGAGCUUGCUUCUCUGGAUGAGUUGCGAACGGGUGAGUAACGCGUAGGUAACCUGCCUGGUAGCGGGGGAUAACUAUUGGAAACGAUAGCUAAUACCGCAUAAUAUUGACUAUUGCAUGAUAGUCAGUUGAAAGGUGCAACUGCACCACUACCAGAUGGACCUGCGUUGUAUUAGCUAGUUGGUGGGGUAACGGCUCACCAAGGCGACGAUACAUAGCCGACCUGAGAGGGUGAUCGGCCACACUGGGACUGAGACACGGCCCAGACUCCUACGGGAGGCAGCAGUAGGGAAUCUUCGGCAAUGGACGGAAGUCUGACCGAGCAACGCCGCGUGAGUGAAGAAGGUUUUCGGAUCGUAAAGCUCUGUUGUAAGAGAAGAACGAGUGUGAGAGUGGAAAGCUCACACUGUGACGGUAUCUUACCAGAAAGGGACGGCUAACUACG